rnacentral:rRNA from 1 species
UACGUAGGUGGCGAGCGUUGUCCGGAUUUACUGGGCGUAAAGGGAGCGUAGGCGGACUUUUAAGUGAGAUGUGAAAUACCCGGGCUCAACUUGGGUGCGGCAUUUCAAACUGGAAGUCUAGAGUGCAGGAGAGGAGAAUGGAAUUCCUAGUGUAGCGGUGAAAUGCGUAGAGAUUAGGAAGAACACCAGUGGCGAAGGCGAUUCUCUGGACUGUAACUGACGCUGAGGCUCGAAAGCGUGGGGAGCAAACAGGAUUAGAUACCCUGGUA